rnacentral:lncRNA from 1 species
UUAAUUUCUCUAUUCUCCUAUAUUCAGUUUCUUUUACCACUUCAAUUAUUAUGUCUGUUCACUUGAUUUGUGUAUUUUACUCUAUAUAAACACAACAUUCGCUCUUUGAAAUUUGAAAUUUUGGUGAGGGUUUGGCUCCUUCCCAAAUAAGCAGGAUCAGGCAUAAUUGCACAAAAUCUUGAACUUUUUACAUGCCAUACCCUAAAAAUAACUGUUUUGGGCAUUUUAUCAUUGUGGUUUAUCACAAAAAUCAAUCCAUUUCGUGUUAGCCAUGUUUGAUAACCCAACAAUAUAUACUAUCCUAUGCAUGUAUGGUUGAGACUCGAUUGGACUUCCCAUUUGGUACUUUUGUCUAUAUUUUUUUAUAUCCUAUUCUUGUCCAAUUUUCUCUCAUCUCCCCCAUCGAAUUGAGUUUUCCCACCUCUUGGGAAUUAGAUUUUCUUAUGUUUCCUGCUAAGAGAUGAUGGAGAAAUGUAGGGAUCAAAAUAUUGGACCCUGUGCUGUUCACUUAAGUUCCUUUCAUGGAGGAGCCAACCUUUUGGGAUUCAGUAUCAUUUUAUUCUCAGG